GCCGCCAUAGCUCAGAUGGUAGAGCAAUUCACUCGUAAUGAAUAGGUCGCGCGUUCGAUCCGCGCUGGUGGCUCCA
rnacentral:tRNA from 1 species